rnacentral:rRNA from 1 species
CGUGUAGGCGGGUAAUUAAGUCAGGAGUGAAAUCCUAUGGCUCAACCAUAGAACUGCUCUUGAAACUGAUUACCUAGAAUAUGGGAGAGGUAGAUGGAAUUUUUGGUGUAGGGGUAAAAUCCGUAGAGAUCAGAAGGAAUACCGAUUGCGAAGGCGAUCUACUGGAACAUUAUUGACGCUGAGACGCGAAAGCGUGGGGAGCAAACA